rnacentral:rRNA from 1 species
GACGAACGCUGGCGGCGUGCUUAACACAUGCAAGUCGAACGGAAAGGCCCUGCUUUUGUGGGGUGCUCGAGUGGCGAACGGGUGAGUAACACGUGAGUAACCUGCCCUUGACUUUGGGAUAACUUCAGGAAACUGGGGCUAAUACCGGAUAGGAGCUCCUGCUGCAUGGUGGGGGUUGGAAAGUUUCGGCGGUUGUGGAUGGACUCGCGGCUUAUGAGCUUGUUGGUGGGGUAGGUACUUACCCAGGUUUUGAAGGGUAGCCGGCCUGGGAGGGUGACCGGCGUCAUGGGGACUGAGGGAGGGACCAGAAGGGAAUGGGAGGCAGCAGGCGGAAGUAUUACACAGUGGGGGCGAGCGUGAUGCGGAAGCGUUGGGAUCGGAAAGACGGCUUUUUGGGUGAAAACAGCUGUCGCCGGAGACGAGGCGUGAGUGACGGUAAUGAGUAAAGAAGCACCGGCUAACUACGUG